AGGGCACCACAAGAACGCGUGGAGCAUGUGGCUUAAUUUGACUCAACGCGGGAAAUCUUACCGGGUCCGGACACACUGAGGAUUGACAGGCACUAUACGGCACCCCACUCACUCUGUGGGCGUGGUACCGUAGCUAAAUAUGCUAGUCCUUUCAUGAUUAUGUGAUAGGUGGUGCAUGGCCGUUCUUAGUUCGUGGAGUGAUCUGUCUGCUUAAUUGCGUUUCGCUAAAGGAUCUUACAGGGCACAGCUUCUGGUGUGCUAUAGCUAUGCUACGCCUCACCGGUCUUACAGCUCAGCGGUCAGUGCGUCUUAGGCUAAGCCUCGGAUGCUUCUUAAGCUCAGCUAGACCAUACGUGCGGCUAUAUGGCUCACUCGCUAGGGGCACUAUAUGUGAACUUCUGAUCCUGAAAGCAACGAACGUGACCGCAACCUCUUGUUGUGCUAGCUCUAUAGCACAGCACAAACUAGAGGGACCGCUGUUACUUUUCUUAAACCAGAGGAAGGUUGCGGCAAUAACAGGUCUGUGAUGCCCUUCGAUGUUCCGGGCUGCACACGUGCUACAAUGAUCAUUGCAGUGAGCAUCUCUGUUUUUCACUUAUAGCUUGGUGAUAAUUCAUUAUCUCUGAACUAGGUCUACCCCUUACACGGCUCUACGCUAUAGUGGCGCUCUGUUCUAACUCUGGACUACACCCUCUUGGCUUCGGUCAUACGUAUGAGGGCUGUACCUGGUCUAGUUCAGAUAUGGAGUACCGCAUCAGCCGUCUGAGCCUUCGUGGGGUGACCUUAGCCUACCUCGAGACGUAUGCUUAGGGUAAUCAAUUACAAGUCAUGAUUUUCCAAUAUCACACACUGAUAUACGGC
rnacentral:rRNA from 1 species